GAGGGUACAGCCCAGGGGUAGAGCGCGUGACUGGCAGGCACGAGGUCCUGGGUUCAAUCCCCAGUACCACUG
rnacentral:tRNA from 1 species